GCCGGAGUAGCUCAGUGGUAGAGCAUCUGUUUCGUAAACAGAGGGUCACGGGUUCAAUCCCCGUCUCCGGCUCCC
rnacentral:tRNA from 1 species